rnacentral:lncRNA from 1 species
GUAGAACGUCUUCCUGGCCUCUGUAUCUCUGGGCAGAGAGGAACUCUGCAACUUCCUGGCAAAAUAGUUGCCUUUUCCUUUCCCACAGCACUUCCAGCCUGGCCUCUACCCUGCAUUUGGAGGCUAUCAGGACUAAUCUCAGGGUCUCACUCUGUUGCCCAGGAUAGAGUGCAGUGGCAUGGUCACAGAUCACCGCAGCUUCAACCUCCCAGGCUCAAGCAAUCUUUCCACAUCAGCCUCCUGAGUAGCUGGAAAUACAGGCAUGCACAAUUAUGCCUGGCUAUUUUUUAUAUUAUUUUUUUUGUAGAGACAGAGUCUUGCUGUGUUGCCCAGGCUGUUCUCAGUCUCCAAUUCUUGAGCUCAAGUGACCCUUCAGCCUCUGCCCCUCGAAGUGAUGGAAUUACAGAUUCACAAUUUAUGGUGAAUAACUUACAAGCAAAUAAUUAA